AUACGUAGGUGGCAAGCGUUGUCCGGAAUUAUUGGGCGUAAAGCGCAUGUAGGCGGUAAUUUAAGUCUGUCGUGAAACUGCGGGGCUCAGCCCCGUAUGGCGAUGGAAACUGGGUUACUUGAGUGCAGGAGAGGAAAGGGGAACUCCCAGUGUAGCGGGGAAAUGCGUAGAUAUUGGGAAGAACACCGGUGGCGAAGGCGCCUUUCUGGACUGUGUCUGACGCUGAGAUGCGAAAGCCAGGGUAGCGAACGGGAUUAGAUACCCCGGUAGUCCUGGCCGUAAACGAUGGGUACUAGGUGUGGGAGGUAUCGACCCCUUCCGUGCCGGAGUUAACGCAAUAAGUACCCCGCCUGGGGAGUACGGCCGCAAGGCUUAAACUCAAAGGAAUUGACGGGG
rnacentral:rRNA from 1 species